CACGCCCUAAACGAUGUGUGCUAGUUGUCGGAGCCUUUAGGCCCCGGUGACGCAGCUAACGCUUUAAGCACACCGCCUGGGGAGUACGGUCGCAAGAUUAAAACUCAAAGGAAUUGACGGGGACCCGCACAAGCGGUGGAGCAUGUUGUUUAAUUCGAAGCAACGCGAAGAACCUUACCUACACUUGACAUACCUCUUGGGACUUUCAGAGAUGAUUGUUUUCGGUUCGGCCGGGGAGAGUACAGGUGC
rnacentral:rRNA from 1 species